rnacentral:rRNA from 1 species
UACGUAGGGUGCAAGCGUUGUCCGGAAUUAUUGGGCGUAAAGAGCUCGUAGGCGGUUUGUCGCGUCUGCUGUGAAAACCCGAGGCUCAACCUCGGGCCUGCAGUGGGUACGGGCAGACUAGAGUGCGGUAGGGGAGAAUGGAAUUCCUGGUGUAGCGGUGGAAUGCGCAGAUAUCAGGAGGAACACCGAUGGCGAAGGCAGUUCUCUGGGCCGUAACUGGCGCUGAGGAGCGAAAGCGUGGGGAGCGAACAGG